CCGUGCUCGGAGAUUGGUAGGGUGUCCAUGGUGUGAUUCCACAAUUUUAAUCUGCUAAAUUGGAGCCGGCCAGUCACGGAAAGCACUGGGUGGUCACGUGAUAGCAGUCCGUCUGUGGUGUAAGAGUCAGGCUAUUCCUCGUCGCACGCAGAGGACAGGAGUUCAGUUCCAGAGAAGGAAACUAUUAUUUUCUUCAAGCGUCUCUGCUGACUGUCUACUGGGAUUCAGUACCCCACUCGGCCCGAGCUGACCGUGACAGCCAGUUGACUAUCAAUGCAGCCUGCUUCUUAUAAGAUCUUAAUUGUAUCGAUUGUGGCGCAAAGCAAUAUCAAUAAAAUAAUAUUAAUUUU